rnacentral:lncRNA from 1 species
GGGUUCUGGUUAUAUGAUUUUGCAGGUUGAGAAUGAUGGUAUGAGUCGGACGCAGUGGUUGCUGAGCUAGCUGUUGGGGUAUAGGUGAGAAGGAGAUGGAUGCUUGGGCCGAGAGAGGCGAGACGAAGAUGGUGGAGAUGGUACCGGCGAGGGGAUUGGGUUAUUGAUUCGGUGGUGUGUGAAGACGUGGUGGUGGUGGUGGUGAAUAUGAGUUAUUAGAAUUGAUUUUAGAAAUCAAUGGGGAAGAGUGAGAGGGUUUGGCUUGAAAUAUUGGUUGUUCUUUGUUGGUUCAUCGCAGGUAAACCGUGAGCAGGGUGUAACAAGAAAAUGGCAACGGGGAUGUUAAUGAAUCAUGUGUGAAGGCCUUUGUUAAAAGGAUUUGGUUAAAGAAGAAGCACAUUCAUGCGUUGGAUGACGACAGAGAAAAGGAAAAAAAAUCAUUCCAUAACACCAUAUUCAAUUCGAAACAGAGCAAGAGCAAUAUCAAGCAGCGUACAUCGCAACUAGCUUACAUGUCGAUUAUGCAAGGUGUGAGUAAAGUGCACUUACUUCUCGGAGUUCUAUUUACCGUUGCUCUUAGUGUCUCCGGUGGUUCUUUCCCCUUCUCUGGCUGGCGAUUCCUUCCUCUUCUCUGGCUGGCUGGUCUCUGUUUUGCUCUCUGCAGGUGGAACCAAGAAGUUCUCUCACGCCGUGGGUGCUCUGUUCUCCGUUUUGCUUUGAUUUUGUGUUUUGUGUGAUGGAAAGGGUGGUUGCUCCAGACCAUUAAUGGGGGAUGAAUGGUGUCUCUGAGAGAUGAUAUAGGUGUAGUGGAUGAUCGGUUGGAGCAAUGAGGUGUGGUUUUUUUUUAUGGUGAAUACGAUUGUGGUGACGGGUAAAUGUGAGUUGUCUGUGAUGAAUUCUGAAGGGUGGUGAUGAAGAUGUCGUGUGUGAUGAGGAUGUAGAAGUGGAGAGGUAGGAAUGGUGAGAAGGUCAGAAUGAUAUUGGUGAAGGAGGUGGAAACGUAUAGAGGAGCUGAGUAGUGGAGGGCAGUGUGGUGUCCCUCGAGGAGUUGAGAGUAGUCUUUCCUUAUCACAGGCCAAGGUCCAGUCCCUACUCCGCUGCCAUCUAGCCACCCCUACAAAUUUUACUCUGCAAUCUAGCCACCUAUUACCUGCUAUCAUGGCCAGAGACGAUCUUCCCACUUUUGGUAAUUAGCCAAAGGAUGUUGGUUAGUGUGCAUGAGUGCUCAAAAUAUUUGCACCGCAAAUGGAGGAGAUAGCGUGCAAAACCGCAGAGUUGAC